AUGCCAGUAGGUCUAGCUCUGGAGGGUUCAGCGCCCGAGGCAAAUAGAACUGGAAGGAAGGUGAACUUCACUCAGCUGGCGGUGAUCAGCAUGGCGAGUCUGAAAGUCUUCCUGCAAAGGACCAUGACGCUGAUGAUGCCCAAAGCAGGCUGUGAAGAACAAACCCCACAACUGGUUGUUUAUAGAAGGCCACUGUUCUGUGAAAUGUGCCAUGCCAUCUCGACCUCCACAUGAGAGACAUAAUCUUUAAGGAUCACUCCACAGGUUAUUAUUUAUAAAGAUAAAAAAGGAGGCUUUUUAGAAUUCAAUUUUUGUGUGGUUUGCUGAGAUAGGAUCUUGCUAUGUAGUUCAGGCUGGCCUUGAACUUAGUAUGUAGCCCAGGCUGCCACUGAACCCACAGCAAUUCUCCUGAGUGCUGGGACCAGCUACAAAGUAAUGGGCUGGAUUUUAAAAAGUCAAGACUAGCAGCCAGGCAUGGUGGCACAUGCCUGUGAUCCUAGCACUUGGGAAGCUGAGGCAAGUGGAUCACCAGUAGUUCGAGGUCAGCCUGGGCUACAUAGUGAAUUUGAGGCCAACCUAAAUGACACAGCAAGACCUCACCUCAAAAACAAACAAACCAACCAACCAAAGAGAACAAAAAGGUCAAGAUCAUGAAAGACUGAGGGGAGGAACUUACAUUAACAUUAAAGGGAAAUAAAAUUAAAUUAAAGGGGAGGAGAGCCACGCCUUCUCCUGCCCCAGCUGCCAUCACUCCAGUACCGGGAGGUAGCUGUGAACCCCAUAACUCCCCCACCCCUGCACUCAGACCUCCUGAUUGUGCCAGUCUUUGGAUCCACUCUGCAGAGGCAGAGGUGGCCAUCAAGGGCAUUUUUCUGAGUUCCCAACUUUGAACAUCUUUAAAGAAAGGGCG
rnacentral:lncRNA from 1 species